UUUGGAUGAAGGUUGUGUUGAAAUGGGAGUGAAUGAUCUAACAAAGUAUGAACUCAAUUUAUGUUACACACACUUCCUUUUAUAGAGGAAGUGCAAGGCAAAGCAUGGGUAAAAUGGAGUGGUGUUGAAAUGAUUCAAAGGUGAAAGUGAAGUAAUGAUGCAAAGCAUGGGUAAAAUGGAGUGGUGUUGAAAUGAUUUAAAGGUGAAAGUGAAGUAAUGAUGCAAAGCAUGGGUAAAAUGGAGUGGUGUUGAAAUGAUUCAAAGGUGAAAGUGAAGUAAUGAUGCAAAGCAUGGGUAAAAUGGAGUGGUGUUGAAAUGAUUUAAAGGUGAAAGUGAAGUAAUGAUGCAAAGCAUGGGUAAAAUGGAGUGGUGUUGAAAUGAUUCAAAGGUGAAAGUGAAGUGAUGAUUGAUGCAAGAAUUAAACAUGGAUGGAGUGCACGGCAAAGGUUUGUUAUGGUACAAGGAACCCUUAAUUUGUGUCCUAAAAUGCAUAGGAAACCUUCAAUGUUGCUGGAACUUAGGGACAUUUAGGAUUUAGGAAAGAUCAAACCAAAAUAGGAAACCUUGGCUUAACUUUCCUACUUCAAGUAGG
rnacentral:lncRNA from 1 species